CAAAAAUCUGCAAUGGCUCUUGGCACUGAUGACAUGGGAUCUCCUGAGGAUGAGCAGGACUGUGGGAAAAGUGAUGGACCAGCCAAAAUGCCUUUCUGAUAGGCCUUGUUUUCCUGAGGGAGCAGAUCAUCAGCUGCCAUAACACAGAUGCAUCUCACUGAAGCCAGUGAAGCUGGA
rnacentral:lncRNA from 12 species